UACGUAGGGGGCAAGCGUUGUCCGGAUUUAUUGGGCGUAAAGAGCGUGUAGGCGGCCAGGCAGGUCCGCUGUGAAAACUCGAGGCUCAACCUCGAGAGGUCGGUGGAAACCGUCUGGCUAGAGUCCGGAAGAGGAGAGUGGAAUUCCCGGUGUAGCGGUGAAAUGCGCAGAUAUCAGGAGGAACACCGGUGGCGAAGGCGGGUCUCUGGGCCAUAACUGACGCUGAGGAGCGAAAGCGUGGGGAGCGAACAGG
rnacentral:rRNA from 1 species